CAUAACUCAGGGCCUGAUUUUCGCCGGUCAUCAUACGACGGCGCGGACUUUAUCUUUAGCAUUCUAUUUUUUGGCGCAUUGUCCGAAAGCUAUUGAGCAGAUGAGGGAAGAGCGCGAUCGAUGUUUGAAAUCCAAGAGUGAGAAUGGAGGGAGCAACCUAACGUGGGAUGAUUACAAGGAUUGCGAAUUCACCCAAAAUGUCAUUAGCGAGACUCUGCGACUCGGAAAUGUUGUUAGGAUCUCCUUAGGAAAGCAAGCGUAGA